CCCGAAACAGACUCUCGUCCACUCCCCCUCGUGACGCUCUGUGACGUCACGUAUUUUGUGUAUGACGCGUCGACGCCCAACAGAGCUCCGCUUUAAUCACCGGUCGCAUCUUCAAUACUGCUUCAGCAGUUUAAUUUUAUCCCAACCUUCGCGAUCAAUGUAUUGUGUGUGUUAUAUUUUUUAAACUCUCCGAAGAGCCAUCCAAAAUUAUUAUACUCGGAGUACUCUCUCUUGUGAAUAUCUGAAUACAUGUUUACCCAAAUGUGCCGUGAAAUACCUGAAAUAAAUCUCACAAUGGUGUCCGGACAGUAUCAUCGUCAUCGUCCAUUAAAUCACGUGAUCAUGAUUGUGCCCAACGUCCGUUUCAUUUCCCGCCAGUGCGCGCUUCUUCUUCUUCAUUAUAAAAAAAACUCCUCCGCGACGUCCUCGUCCUCUUCUUCUUCACUUAUCUCCGUCUCCGCUUGUCCGCCUCCACCUCCACGACAUCAGACAUGUACAUGCGCUGCGACCCCGGCACGUGUCCCCGUUUCUCCCGCUGGGUGUCGGAGUGCAGGCGGCCCAGAAAGAGACGGGCAGCGUCUUGGAGUGAGCAGGGAAAACGAGCCAGGACUGAGACAGAACCUUUGGGGGUUAACAACGGAGCUGAGAAGUUUGAGGAUCAAGAAGCUAGUCAUGGCGACAUUGAAAUGGAACGGUCAGAAAGUCCCAAAAUACAGGGUGAAAGGGAUUCCAUGUUCCACCAGUUGUGCUAUGCACAUCGGAAUGGUUUUGGGGAUACCGCCGAGGAGAUGCCACAGCAUUGUUCAAAUGUUUAAAUGUGAAUCUGAGUGCUUGUAAACUCCAAGUUCAUCCCUUACAUGCUUUUAGCAAAGGGUGUGGAAUGGAGCAGAGUUCAUCUUUCAAACCCAAAACAUUUCGACCUACUUUCCCACUGCAUUUCUGCAGAGCUUUUGACCUUCCUAAUUUUGUAUAUUUUCUUUUUGAUAUGGGCACAGAUUUGUACGAAUAAUCCGAAUAAACUAUUUUUGUUCACAAUCUGAAUCUGUUUCUUUCUUAUGGAUGACCCAUGGUAAUUUCAGUUUAAUAAUAAAUUUUAUUUAUACUACAGGGUGCCCCACAGAAAACCAAGAAAUUUGAGAUUGAGAUUUAUUUUGCCAUAUUUUGCACUACAUCUAACGUUUGUUUUUGUUUUGUUUGAAAAUAAAGUGUAUCUUUGUUUUACACUACAUCUAAGUUUGCUUUUGUUUUGUUUUAAAUAAACUGUACCAAAUUUCCUGGUUUUCUGUGGGGCACCCUGUAUAUAGCACUUUUCAAAUGCAAAGAAAUCUCAAAGUGCUGAACAAGGGAAAAAUCAGUUUGUCAAGUAAAAAAGAAAGAGAAAAUAGAAAUGUGGUAAGAAUCAAAGUAGAGUCAAAUUACAUUUAAAAAAAACACAAAUAUUCAUGAAAAAAAAAUUCAAUUGCAUAAAAUACAAAUAACAAUAGAAAAGUCAAAUUACAUAGAAUAGAAAUAACAAUGAAUGGAUGGGACAAAUUGCGUAGAAUAGAAAUAAUAACAUCCUUGACCAAUCCUUUUUGCAAAGCAGGUUACUCAAAAGCAAGGGAAUAAAAGUGUGUUUAAGGCUGCAUUUAAAAACUAAUAAAACCAGAUGCCUUCAGGUGAUGGAAAUUGCCUUGAGCCAAUGGAGUGAAAGCUGCUGGUCAGCAUGCUUGGGAGUUACAGCCAGAGGAUAGACUAGUGGAUAAAUCACAGGAUAGAUAGAUAUACCCACAAUAGACUAGUGGGUAGUUCACCAUAUUAUACGGUACUCCCAUGGGUACCCGGUGUUGCCGGGCAAUGCAGAGUCCCUCCUUCCACCCUUCCCCUCCGGACUCCCACCCCACCCCUUCCUCCUCCCACCAACACCCUUUCCCCCCUCCUCCCGCAAAGGAAUUUUCACAGGGUAUGUAACCACAUUUGGGAAAAAUAAAUAAUUAAAAUAAAACCCGCUUUAGAUUCCUCUAGCAACCUCUAAGUUGCCACGUAUUGUGUCGAAAUCUGUCCCCCUGAGGGACAAAUUCAUCGAUAUGGCCGAAAUAAGUAAUGGUAUGUAUAUACUGAAUGUAUGCAUGUAUAUAUAUAUAUAUAUAUGUUUAUCUCCGUCGCCAUGUAAUGAAUCUGGGGUGUAUUCAGUCACGAAGUUUCUUUUUAGAGCACUCGCCAAGUUGCUUAAGCACUGAAGCAAGCAGUUCAUUCAAAAUUGUUGAUAAGGAAUGGCUGGCUUGGCAAGUGCUAGAUAGCUACUUGAGAACUGAACACAUCCCUGGAUAUUUUUACAGCAUACAGUUGGCCUACAUACCAAAUGCUGACAAAGUUUUUUUUUUUAAUUAAAGACUUCAAAUAUGAAUCAUGGCUAUUUUCAUUGUAAUGAAAAUGUACCUUGUUCAGUUUUCAACACGUUGUUUUACUUUUUAAAAUGUACAUAAACUCAGAGGUGAUGCUGAGUGUACGAAAGUGGACGUGUACAUCUUAUCUAUAUAUUACGAAAACUCUCAUCUUGUAUGUAUGUAUGUUCCCAAAAUACAGCCAAAACAGUAUACGAAAGCGCAAACAUUUUUGGCCCGCCUUACUCCCAUUCUCCUGCGGUGCACAGUAUCAAGUUUCGUUAAAAUCAGGCAACAAAAAAAUUAUUUAAAAAAUCUAUUCCCAAUUCAGUCAAGUACUCUUCGGGAGAAUUUGAUUAAUGCAAACAACCUCAGCGGUAUAGUUCGCUGGAGCUCUCUUUUUUUUCUCUUUAAAUGAUUUAUUUAAAAAUCUCAAACAUUUAGUAUGGACAAAGAACAAUUUAUUUUUAAGCAUAAAAUAAACCGCCAUUUUGAUCUAAUACUUCCGUGUUCAUUAAUAAAUAAAAUUGUGUUUAGAAGAUUACGCACAAUAAUUUCUUCGACUUUCUUUUCUCCGUUUU
ensembl:lincRNA